ensembl:lncRNA
GUGAGACUGACUGACUUUUUAAAUCACAGGUUCUUUGCUGUCAACAGUCUGUACAUAUCUGUGAUACAGGAUAAAUUUCCACAAUGCUGUUUGUACAUGUGGGAAGACUAACAAUAGCCACCCUAAAAUUUUGGGUGUGUUUGACAGGCUGCUAGCAUUUCGCUCACCAACAUGUCACUUGUCAGAUGAACUGAUAAAUGGAACAGUUUCAUGGUCAGUUACUCUGUUCGUAGGAUUUAACAGUGUUGGUUUUUCUGGAUGUAAAAGCACCUGUUUUGCAGCUGAAGGUAAGCACAAUGUAAUUGUACACAUUCAGCCUUGACAGGAGUUGUUGAUUUAAAGCCAAUUAAAUGAUGACUGACAGAAAUCUCUAGAAUAUUUUACAGAUGAUUCACUAUUGUGCCUGAUCUCUGAAAUCUCCACUGAUCAAAACAAACCUUAUGUCUCACAGAGGAAAACAUAAGCAAUUACAUUAAUUAGUCAAGGGAUAAUAAUAAAUUCUUCAUUAAAAGGGCAAAUGUAUUCCCUUCUAAAAGACGCAUCCCGGUGUGUCUUAUUAACAAAUGCAUAACACUGAAAUGAGAUCUCACCUGCAGAAGCAGAAUUCUUUACCUUUCACAGAAAAAUUAAAGCAGCAUUCUGCAAGGAAAUUACUUUUCUAUCAAAAAAACGUCCACUGAUGCUAUUUUAAAAAGCUUAUGGAAAAGAUAAAAAUGUUUCAAAAACAGAACCAGUCCAAAAGCCGAACUUUCCUCAGGAGCUAGCCAGCUGUAGGUGUUACUUGACAAUAAAGCGAACUAGGAAAGGAAGUUAUUGCAAUGUGAUAGCAGCUAUCUUGGGGACAAAGGUCCCCAACCACGGUCCUUUCCAUCCCUAGUAGUUGCAUAACUAGAGUUUUUGAAAGAGAGUGGGGGAAAAAAAAUAACCUAAUAGCACUGCCAAAAAAAAAAAAAAAAAAAAGCCUAAAAUUGCUGGGAGCCAGAGUGAAUAGUUACUAAUUAGUCCCUUCCCCAACUAGAGAUAAAUAUCUGUACUUCAGGGAAGCAUGUAUCAGCUUCUUUUUAUUAUUAUUAUAAUUACAGUGACUAAUUGAGGAUUCACACACAGAGUGUGUUUGUAGGCAAUGGAAUAAAUAAAGGCAGUGAGCUCCAGAGAGAUGACAGUAAGGGAAAAAUAGUAAGCAGGCAGUUAGGGAUGUUACGUAUUUCACCCUAGCAAAGUGUCUGGCAUGGUAGUUUGCUGCUGGCUGUUGACCCGUUUUUUCAUUAGAAUACCUGUUUUGUUUAGGCAUAACAGCACAAAUAAUAUAUUGUGCUUUCACACCUAUGUUUGUCUUCUCUUCUCUUCCCACACAUAACGAUCUUAAAGGGA